UUCCAGCACUCCAGUGGCAGAGGCAGGCAGAUCUCUAAAUUGGAGGCCAGCUUGGUCAGGACAGCCAAGCCUAGGCAGUCAAGGAAACCAUUGAGAACAAAAGGCUGGUGAAAAUGUACCUGAACCAGGGACCCAUGAUCCAGCCUCAGCAAGCUGCAGAACUUGGCAUCUUCAACAACAUGGUUCUGGCGUUAGAGUCAAGGACAGAAGAAAGGGGCUGUGGAGUCUAAUACUGAGACCAAGGGAAGAGGCUGAGGCCAGGUAUGUGUCAGGGGUGUCCCUACCUGGACACCUAGAGAGGCCGCUGGAUGAAGCUGUAAGGUGAAGCCUGGAUUGCUUUGGAGGCCCCAAGAUGUCGGAGAUGCCAGAGCCAUGGGUUACAUGUCUAGGUGGAAACUCUGUCUCAGCUCCCACUCCUCCCAUUCCAGACCCUGCACCUCAGAAAGCAGGUCAAGGUUAGCUCCCCUGGAGCUGCUCAAGACCACUCUACAGGGUUAUUUAAGACCUGGCCACCAGACCCGCCUGGUGAUUCUUCUGCCUUCCUGGAAGUGCUCUGCUUUGCUUUGCUCUGUUUAGUACCUCUGGAUUUAUUAAUUCGGUCUGAUUUGACUUACUGCAUUGGCAGAGGAUACCCAAUAACAGGAUCCAAUAUUUACCAGCUUGGUGUCUAAUACCUGUUAACCAGGAGUGGAACCAGCCAAAGAGAACAGUGCAUUGCAGUCAACAAAGCUGAAAGGAGCUGGAGAUCUGAAGAGCAUUUUGACAUCAGACGUGGAGAUGCAGAGUUUGCCCAGCUGGUUCAGUCCUGCUUUGAUCCAAAAUUUCCUCAUCAUGCACCCUUUUGGAAUGGUGCCUGUUGUUUCCUAAUGAAAUAGAGCAAGAAAGAAUGUGGAUUUGGAGCCGGGCGUUGGUGGCGCACAACUUUAAUCCCAACACUCGGGAGGCAGAGGCAGGCAGAUCUCUGUGAGUUCGAGGCCAGCCUGGUCUACAGAGGGAGUUUCAGAACAUCCUCCUAAACAAUACAGAGAGAGAAACCUUGUCUUUGGGGUUCGUCUUAACUGGGGUGACGAGGGAAUGAAGAAAUGACAAACACGCAGACAGAAAAGCUGGGAUGGGCUGGCCAUACACUUUGAUGGAGUCACACUGACUGCAUAGACUGGAAACUCGGCACAUUCA